AUUUUACGACGAAAACAAGUGGGACUCGUCUCGGCUCCCUUCCACUCGCUAUAGCACCGAGAUGACAUCCUCACUCGCUAUAGCAACCUGUCAGGCCUCAAAGGGCUCCUCCUUUGCGUUCUCCUUUGAAUUCUCAUCGAAACGCUUUUGGUUUCGUCUCAAUCGGAGUUUCCGUUGAGAUUUUACGACAAAAACAAGUAAACCUCAUCCAAAACUCCUUGGCUUGUUUCUGCUCACCCUACCUCCAUCUUUGCGUUC
rnacentral:lncRNA from 1 species